GACGAACGCUGGCGGCGUGCUUAACACCUGCAAGUCGAACGAAGUGGCGAACGGGUGAGUAACGCGUACUCAACCUGCCCUUCAGAGGGGGACAACAGUUGGAAACGACUGCUCAUACCGCAUACUGAAGGAGGGGAUUGCGUCUGAUUAGCUAGUGGGAGGGGUAACGGCCAACCAAGGCGAUGAUCAGUAGCCGGUCUGAGAGGAUGAACUGCCACAAUGGGGCCUAGACACGGCCCAGACUCCUACGGGAGGCAGCAGUUGGGAAUCUUCCGCAAUGGACGAAAGUCUGACGAGGCAACGCCGCGUGAGUGAUGACGGCCUUCGGGUUGUAAAGCUCUGUUAAUCGGGACGCGGUACCGGAAUAGAAAGCCACGGCUAACUACGUGCCAGCAGCCGCGGUAAUAC
rnacentral:rRNA from 1 species